UGUUCGAAAAGGUGAAAUUCGUGAGAAAAUUUUCGCCAACAAGCUGAAAGAUCUUGAUUUGGCUGUGAGAAAUAGAUCCGUGUAUAUUAUUGUAUGUCAAUAUGGUAAUCGUUUCAAGGUAUUAAUAUCUAUCAAUGGCGAAGUUGAAGACGGAUGUUGGGUCAUUUGGCGCUACAAAAGAACCUUUUCCUAUCAGAUGUGAUAAAAAUGAUUCCUUUCGUCUUCAAAACAAUGCCACUGUGGAAAUUCCUACUGAAGUAUCCAAGAUUCCUAAGAAAACAGGUUUUAGGGAUAUUAAAAUUGUAAGCAACCUAGCUCUGUUUAUCAUUAUGAAAUGCUCGAUGACAUGCAGUGCUGCCGUAUUUGUAAUUUUUGUUAUAUAUUGGUGCUACGGAAGUCUCAUUGCAUUAGUAUUGUUCCUUUUCGCCUUAUCAGGACUGGUAUUCCAGAUAGGAGAUUUCUUGUUAUAUCAUCCCAAUCAGCCACCUCAGUCUCGUCUGUAUGUUCCUCUUCCAUCAUUAUUUGGCUUGCCCGCUGAAAGCAUUUUCCUAAAAACUGCAGAUGAUGUGAAAAUACAUGCCUUUUUUAUAAAGCAAGAUGCAUCCAUAAUCCGUCAAGUCCCAACUGUGCUUUAUCUUCAUGGGAAUGCGGGUAACAUUGGCCACAGGUUACCCAAUGCACAGGGAUUUUUCCAGUAUUGUGGCUGUAAUGUUUUAUUGCUUGAGUAUCGUGGUUAUGGACACAGUGAAGGUACUCCAAGUGAAGAAGGUCUCUACUUGGAUGCUCAAGCAGGUCUUCAAUAUUUGCUUCAAGUUCCUUACAUUGACAAGUCAAAAAUAAUUGUAUUUGGUCGUUCUCUGGGUGGAGCUGUUGCCAUUGAUUUAGUUAGCCGACCGAGGUUUGGAAAAUAUGUUUUGUUGCUGAUAGUUGAAAAUACAUUUACCAGUAUUCCAGAUAUUGCCAAAGAAAUGUUUAAUUGGAAAAUUAUAAAGUGUCUUCCAGUGUGGGCUUUUAAAAAUCAGUUUUUAUCAUUAAAGAAAAUUAAAAAGGUUAAAAGGCCAACACUCUUUAUAUCAGGAGAAGCAGAUUUACUUAUCCCUCCACAUAUGAUGAAAUUAUUGUGCCAGAUGUGUGGGAGCCCUCUAAAACGAUUCCAGUCCUUUCAGUAUGGGACACAUAAUGAAACGUGGCAAUGUAAAGGCUACUAUCGAGCCAUUAACAUAUUUAUUGAUGAUAUCAUGUUGGCUCAACAAGAAAUGCAACUGUGGCCAUCAAAAGCUUUUGAAGGUGAAAUAUAUUGAAGCUGUAUUAUAAAAACUUUUAAAUUUUUGGGCCUUUUGAAACCUGCAUUUAUCAUUUAUGUCUCAUUUACAAGCUGUGAUCAGUUUCAUUGCAUUAUGUUGAAAGGCUCUACACUAAGUAUUACAAAUAGUCUACAAAGAACCCCAUAUCAUUAAACAUGACUGUAAUAUAUACUCUUUUUAUAUGUAUUUUGUAAAGAGCAUUUAAAAUGUUAUUUUUAUGUGUAUAGUUUGAAUUAUAUAUUGUUUUAAAAACAGACUUAUCACUAUAAUAAUAAAAGGUGUAAAAAAGAUUGUUUUUACUACUGUACAGUGGAAUAAAUAUUGUAGAAUUAUGUUAAAAAGUUAAGUUUAAAAGUUUUUUAGUCGUAUCUAUAGUGACAUGAAGAAAUGCUAAAUAAUCAUCUAGCUAAGCAUCUGAUAAUAAAUAAUAGGUUAUUGGUUAAAGUUGAAAUUAUUUUAUAUCAAAGGCUGUUGAUUGCAACUAUGUUAUAAACUAAAAUGAAUUAUUAUUUAACAUGACAAAAUAAAGUAUAAAUGACA